CCUACGGGGGGCAGCAGUGGGGAAUUUUCGGCAAUGGGGGGAACCCUGACCGAGCGAUGCCGCGUGAAUGACGAAGUUCUUCGGAAUGUAAAAUUCUUUUGUGUGGGAAGAAAAAGCAAUUAUUGACGGUACCACAAGAAUAAGCCCCGGCUAACUAUGUGCCAGCAGCCGCGGUAAUACAUAGGGGGCAAGCGUUAUCCGGAUUUACUGGGCGUAAAGGGUGCGUAGGUUGUUAUUUAAGUUUCUGGUAUAAGCACAAUGCUUAACGUUGUGAGGCUGGGAAAACUAGAUAGCUAGAGUAAGACAGAGGCAAGUGGAAUUCCAUGUGUAGCGGUAAAAUGCGUAAAUAUAUGGAGGAACACCAGUGGCGAAGGCGGCUUGCUGGGUCUUGACUGACGCUGAUGCACGAAAGCGUGGGGAGCAAACAGGAUUAGAUACCCGUGUAGUC
rnacentral:rRNA from 1 species